rnacentral:piRNA from 1 species
CCAGAAACCUGAAACCAGCCGCGUGA